UUAGGGUUUGAUCUCGGAGAGGACGCUUGAGAAAUAGCGGCUACAUCUAAGGAAGGCAGCAGGCGCGUAAAUUACCCAAUCUUGACACAAGGAGGUAGUGACAAGAAAUAACUGUGUGUGGCUCUAUGCUGCACAUCCGGAAUGUGUGACAGGUUAAGCGUGUUGCGAGUAGCUAUUGGAGGGCAAGUCUGGUGCCAGCAGCCGCGGUAAUUCCAGCUCCAAGAGUGUAUAUUAAAGUUGUUGCGGUUGAAAAGCUCGUAGUUGGAUUUAUGCUAUGCUGGUACAGUCGACCCCCUGGGUAGGACUUGUAUUGUUGCAUUGCACACUGUAGAAUUUGUGUAUGUUUUUCAGUAAAUGUGCAGAAUACUACUUAGUUACUUUGAGGAAAGUGGAGUGUCACACGCAGGUUGCGCCGUGAACAUGCUAGCAUGGCAUGACGCUGUAUGACUACGAGUCUUUUUGAACGGUUUCGGGACACGUGGUAAUGAUUGAUAUGAGGUGUUGGGGAUACUCAUAUUUGACAGUUAGAGGUGAAAUUCUUGGAUUUGUCAAAGAUGAACAAAUGCAAUAGCAUUUAUCAUGGAUGUUUCAUUUGAUCAAGAACGAAAGUUAGGGGAUCGAAGACGAUCAGAUACCGUCCUAGUCUUAACCAUAAACUAUGCCAACUGGAAAUUGGAAUAUAUGGAGAGAAAAUAUAUUCAGUAUUGUGCCUGAAAAGAGUAAGUGUGUGGGCUCCGGGGGGAGUAUAGUUGCAAGACUGAAACUUAAAGGAAUUGACGGAAGGGCACCACCAGGAGUGGAGCCUGCGGCUUAAUUUGACUCAACACGGGAAAUCUCACCAAGUCCAGACAUACGCAGGAUUGACAGAUUAAUUGCUCUUUCUCGAUUGUAUGGGUGGUGGUGCAUGGCCGUUCUUAGUUGGUGGAGUGAUUUGUCUGGUUAAUUCCGUUAACGAACGAGAUCCUAUUCUGCUAACUGUUGCAACAGUCUUUGGAAUGUUGGUACACUUAGAGGGACAUUGCGUGAGUAAUGCACGGAAGAGUCGGGCAAUAACAGGUCUGUGAUGCCCUUAGAUGUCCUGGGCUGCACGCGCGCUACAAUGGCACAUGCCCCAAUGUACCUAUGUCUGACAAGAACAUAGGAUCAAGCAACGAUGCCGUGCCGGGAAUAGAUGAUUGUAAUUUUUUAUCUUGAACGAGGAAUUCCUAGUAAGAACAGAUCAACAAUCUGUGCUGAUUACGUCCCUGCCCUUUGUACACACCGCCCGUCGCUCCUACCGAUUGAGUAAUCCGGUGAAUGGUGACGAUUGUUCGAACGCUCCUGAGCCUCGUGCAACAAGCAUCGUUAACCUCACUACUUAGAGGAAGGAGAAGUCGUAACAAGGUU
rnacentral:rRNA from 1 species